GGGGAUGUAAGGGUUUCGACGGGAGCGUCGAAGCAGGAUAAGCGAGCCGUAGUCGCCGAGUCUACGUAAAAAGCGGCACGUUAAAGAUAAACGGAAAAACUAAACCCAAUCUCGCACUAGCUGCUUGAGGCAGCCGCGACGUCGGCCUGAGUUCACCCGCAGGCACAGGGUCCGACGCAAGAAUGCGGGAAAACUCUCGGGCGACUCCCGUAACCCGAGGGGACUAACGGGAUAGCGGAGGCCGGUACGCGCCGGUGAAGAUCGGCCGAAGCGAACAAAGCAGCGCCGGCUGCGCUCGGAGAAAUUCCUGAUGGAGACGCUUUCGGACGCGGGUUCGACUCCCGCCAUCUCCACCA
rnacentral:sRNA from 1 species